GGUAUUCUGUAGGUGACAAGGCUUGGUGAGGGGAGUCCGUAAGGGUCUCAGGAGGCUACAGUCACAAUGCUGGUCAGCUUGCAUCCUCUUCUGAAGCUCCACCAAUGCUCAGUGGCUGCUGGCAGAACUCAACCUCCCUGCAACUGUGGGAUAGAUCCAAGGUACCACACCUAUGACUCAGCAGAAAGUAGAGGACAUUUGUUUCUCUACAUCCCUGUGCCCAGACCAGGAAGGCUGCAAAUGUAACCUGCUAUUGCCAAGAUCCAUCCAAGAAAUCACCCUCCAGUCUCUGCUCCCCUGACUCUGUGAUGUGGGUUAUACUGGAAACACGGCACCUCACAGGCAGAGCCUGAGAGAAACCAGGCUAGAAAACAAGUUCUAAGCAGCAUGUGUGGAGGUACGGGGGUGCGGGGAGGGAAAGAACUCCACAGGUAGGGCCCUGAAGGCCACUGCCCCUCAGCAAUUCUCCUCACCUCUGUGUCCUCAGGAGGAUGUGCCAACCUAAAAUGUACUUGCCUAGAUAAGGCCACCAUUGUGACCACACCCACAUGGGUCUGCAAAGGUGGUGGGCAGGGCUGCCUCCAGCAUCUGUGGCGAGAAGGCUGGGAGGUAGAGGCAGAAAGGAAGGUAACCACUGCAAGCGGUUGCAAAAAUGAGCACUUCUUUCUCAGUGUGCCACUAAGCAUAUCAAAGUUCCAACUAAAGCCACUUGAGGUGACCAAAGAGGAUUUCUGGGAUGGUCUGC
rnacentral:lncRNA from 1 species